rnacentral:rRNA from 1 species
GCGGCCUAUCAGCUUGUUGGUGAGGUAAUGGCUCACCAAGGCGACGACGGGGUAGCCGGCCUGAGAGGGCGACCGGCCACACUGGGACUGAGACACGGCCCAGACUCCUACGGGAGGCAGCAGUGGGGAAUAUUGGGCAAUAGAGGAAACUCUGACCCAGCGACGCCGCGUGAGGGAUGAAGGCCUUCGGGUUGUAAACCUCUUUCAGUAGGGAAGAAGCGAAAGUGACGGUACCUACAGAAGAAGCACCGGCUAACUAUGUGCCAGCAGCCGCGGUAAUACAUAGGGUGCAAGCGUUGUCCGGAAUUAUUGGGCGUAAAGAGCUCGUAGGUGGUUCGAUACGUCGGAUGUGAAAAUCAGGGGCUCAACCCCUGACCUGCAUUCGAUACGGUCGAGCUAGAGUUUGGUAGGGGAGACUGGAAUUCCU